AUAUGCUGAUGUUAAACCCAUAUUCCUGUCUAUUUGAAAUAACACCAAUUCUGCCUAGUCUGUUCAAACUGCUGCCUGUUCUACUGUACAUCUCCUUUGUAAGCUAAGAAGUUAAUUUCAGCUGACUACAUCAGAAUCGGUACUACCAUUUUAUGAGAGCUGAAAAUGUACAACAUUGUUAAUCAUAAAUUAUAUCUCGGUGGGUAAAUUGAUGGAUAUGCUGUAGAACAUAGUUUGUCAUUGAUUUAUAAAUAUACCCAUAUAUCCUGGGCUUUCACUGAUGGUUUAAUUGUGGUACAUAUGGCACUGGCCUGAUAUGCAUUCUGUUUGCAGUUUGCUUCUACCUGACCGCUUCCUGCAUGUUAGUUGAGGCAAUCCUCUUGUCAGAGCAGAUACCUACCUCCGCCACUGUCAGAGCAAAUCACCAAAAACUCUGUGUAGUCAGACUGUCAAGCUCAUGAAGCUGAUAGCAUCUGCUACCAAUGUGCAAGAAAAAAUUGACAGGUGAAAUCAACAUGAUGGGCUACCUCUUUAAUGUCAUACUUCAAGAGGUAAUCAUCAGGAUCUUGGAAAAUAAUGAGGGCUUCAGCUGCAAUCGGGCAGAAUUUGCCAGGGCCAGUGGAUUUCACCAUUAAAGGCUGAAUGAAUAUGAUAGUCUUGAUUGUAUUUAUUUUGGAUGUUUGAUUAAAGAAAAAUCUAUUGUAA